rnacentral:rRNA from 1 species
GUAGUCUGCAACCCGACUACAUGAAGCUGGAAUCGCUAGUAAUCGAGGAUCAGAAUGCCGCGGUGAAUACGUUCCCGGGUCUUGUACACACCGCCCGUCACACCAUGGGAGUCGGAAAUGCCCGAAGUCUGUGACCCAACCUACGGGAGGGAGCAGCCGAAGGCAGGUCGGAUGACUGGGGUGAAGUCGUAACAAGGUAUC